UACAGAGGUCUCAAGCGUUGUUCGGAUUCAUUGGGCGUAAAGGGUGCGUAGGCGGCGCGGUAAGUCGGGUGUGAAAUCUCGGAGCUUAACUCCGAAACUGCAUUCGAUACUGCCGUGCUUGAGGACUGGAGAGGAGACUGGAAUUUACGGUGUAGCGGUGAAAUGCGUAGAUAUCACUAGGAACGCCGGUGGCGAAAGCGCUCGACUGGACCUCUUCUGACGCUGAGGCGCGAAAGCCAGGGGAGCAAACGGG
rnacentral:rRNA from 1 species